UACGGGGGGUGCGAGCGUUGUCCGGAAUCACUGGGCGUAAAGGGCGCGUAGGUGGUUUGAUAAGGGUGUGGUGAAAGUCCGGGGCUCAACCCCGGAUCUGCCGUGCCGACUGUCAAACUCGAGGACUGUAGAGGCAGACGGAAUUCCGGGUGUAGCGGUGGAAUGCGUAGAUAUCGGGAGGAACACCAGUGGCGAAGGCGGUUGCCUGGAGCUUUGCUGACGCUGAUGCGCGAAAGCGUGGGGAGCGAUCCGG
rnacentral:rRNA from 1 species